UCGGACGUGGUGUAUGGCACACACCCGCUUCAACUGUUAAUUCAUUUGAGGGAUAAGUGAAAGCGGGAGAAGUUAGAACCGGGUUCGAUUCCCGGCGUCCGAA